ACAGCGCAACAGCGAUUCCGUUUACUUGCUAGGUGACGACGGGAUUAUCGACCCGUGUUAUCGACCGAGGUGUUUGUAUGAAUUGAAGUGCCAAAUUCGAACACACCGCCCCCCCGUUGAAUCAAUUCAUUCAACGUGAAGUGCGUAGUAUUAAUAACGUGGAACGCCCAAGAUUGUAAUGCGGAAAUUUUUCUUGCGGUGCUUACAUGCGAUGAGACAACGCUUACGUUUGCUUUUACGUCGUAGAUUUCUCGCUUUCGGUGACAAGUGUGAUUGGAAGGAAACAAAGUUUCGCAAUAGGGCGCUUAUAUUCCCCGGACGACGUUUUUACGCUGACGACUCGGAUGAGGUUAUCGUCUCCUGGGUGGCACUUGAUAAUGCGGCCAAGUUCCCAUCGGCAAGGCGGAAGAUUUUGGUUGCGAAGCAGGACAAGUUGACCGACUUGAGCGAGAUUUUGCGUCGUCUUCCAUUUUGGGCGUUGGUGCAACGUAUGCAGGAAGCUUGGAAUUGGUGAGCCGUCCUUUUGCGCGGAUUAGGCCGUCGGUGUCUAAAUAAGGACACAGAGAAAGGAGAGCGCUUGUUUUUGGGACUGGCUUGGACUUUGCUAAGGCUCCCUUCUCCUCCGGAAAAGCGUUGGAUUGAAGCUCCUUUAACCAAAAGAGUUUUGCUUGGUUGAUAACUUCUGGCUUGAGAAUCAACGGCGGAGCAGUAGGUUGGCUUAUAAUGGUUGCGAGACUUGGAAGGGCAGGACUUCUUUUCUCGUGCGACAGAUCGUCGUCUGUUUGUGGAAUAGACUGAGGCCAGAAAUUAGACGCUUUUAUUAACCAAGGAGGGCCGGACCACCAUAACUGGAGUUGUGAUUGUUGGAGCUGAGAGGUCCUCGAUUUGCCAAAAUCGACAAAGGUCUUGGUCGAGGUUUUCCAAAACGGAAAGAUGGUGAACUCCUACUGAGGAAGGUGAGGAUACUCGCUGGGAAGGACCGGACAGGAUCCACCCGAGGGUAGUGUUUUGUGCCGUCGGGGUACACGCGGAGCCUUUCCUCAGCCCUGGCAGCAAAAAUUGACCAUAAAGAUCUGCUCCGAUUAUGAUGUCGAUUGGAUCCGAGCUCAUGGGUUCGUUGUCUGCGAGUUCCAAAUCUGCAAGAAGACGGAGUGUUUGAGCGAGAUUCUCCGUUAUAAGGGUUGCGACGGAACCUUGAUCCAGAAGAGCUCGAGCGUUAACGGAUCGACCCUGACUCGAGCGAAUUUGAACGCGCGCUGUUGAAAGAAGAAUACAUGAGCCUUUUGGAGAAUUUGACGCUACGAAGGUGACUCACGGCGCGGCUUGCUUCACCCGUUAACGAUGAAUUCAAAAAUUGAAGGCGGUCAAUGUUUGAUAAAGAAUCAUUAUUUUUUACCAGUGAGGUGAAGCGGUCACGGAAACUCUCCCAUUCGGUGAAGGCGCCAUCGAAGAUUGCGGUGGAGGCGUGG